CGUCAUCACAAGCACGACUGUUAACACGCAGAUAUCAAAAGAUUUCCUUCUCUCGUGUGUCAUACUUUGAAGGUUUCGAGCAUGGAGAAUUGUUAAAUCAAGAGCAGGUACCGUCAUCACAAAUAAGACAUCAGAAAAUUUCCUUCUCUCGUGUGCCAUGCCUUGAAAGGUGGUGAAGUAGAAGUGGCUGGACACUGGAGUAUGGAAGA
rnacentral:lncRNA from 1 species